UUAAGGCUAUUAUUUCACUGA
rnacentral:piRNA from 1 species